CGAGCGGAGCCGAACACCGCCGAGCCAAGCUCAGCCCCAUCGACUUUUCCAGCCUCGGCUGGGCGCUGUCCACCACUUACAACGCCUGAAACCUCACCCUGGCUCAGGAGGCCGAGGCUUCUACCGGACUCCCGGCCUGCCACAGUGGAUUACAGACUUGUGAAGUUUCGAAACCUGCCCCUAAGGAGAAAGAGGUGGCGCGGUUUGCAUUUCCCGACACGCGAGGGCUCCAGGCAGAUGCAACAUGCACCUUGUUGCAAAGAGCAAUUCCCCAGGCCCCGCCUCCCCAUCCAUUUGGACUGCACAAGCCCCAGAGAAACCCCAGGCCAAAUUACUGGUGGCUCAGAAGGGUGAGGCUAGCCGAAGGGGCCUGUGAGAAGAAAGCCCCCGGGAGCUCUCGAACGCAAAUAAGAACAUGCCAAGCAGAUGGGAGAAACUGUCUCCUAGUCGCUGCUCCCUACCAUCAUGGCGCCGCCUGGAACUCGCUUGUCAUGCCUGUUACACAUGCAAGAAUUUUUGCUUCUUGGUUUUGAAACCACAAGCACGAUUUGUCUCCCACCCACCUUCCCUCGAAAGGGGCUUUUAUUUUCCAUUGUUUUCCUACGGGAUGCAAUUACUUCGGCUAUUCUGUCAAGUUGAAAAAUAAUCAUUUUUGUUUACAGCACAGCAACCUCUAAUUAGGAGCUGUGUGUGCACGAAGGUGUCACAGCAAAGCGACAUGGAAUCCUCGCUAAACGGUCCUAACGAACUCCUCCGUCCCGAACUGACAGGCCAACGGAAACAGGGCCAGGAGGCCCGGAAGGCACGCACCCGUUCCCUGCCGGCCACCCCUCCCCAGGCAGAGCUGCCUGGAGGCUCACCGGGAACCGUGGAGUGGAUGGGGCAAGAAGCAAGCCAGAGAGGAGGAAGGACGGGCGAGGCUCCUAAGUGGGGAAAUGUGGAAAGGAAGGAAUAUCCCAUUUUGUUUUAAUUUUCAACCAUCACUCAAAUCCACCCCCAGUUAAUUAGGAGGGGAAACUGAUAUCUAAGGCAGAAAGGGGGCGGUGGCAAGUAGGGCCUGAAAUCCGCAUUGAAGGUAGAAUACAGAGUGUAAAUACAACGAUAAAGGCUACACAGUGACUGGAACCUGCGGGUGUCAGAAGAGCAAAGGCUGGAGGGCCAGGGAGGAGAGGGGCUGGAGGGCAGAUGAAACUGGCUUUUAGCCCCACAGACCCUCCCACCUCUGCCUUGGAUAAGGCUGUGUCUGUCACAUCCGCUUGGAAACCCAUCCUUUCUCCCCAGUGCACGCCCCCUCCCCUAACCCUUGCUCGCUUUGGGGGGGGGGGUCGUCUAAGCCACAGCCACCAGGAAUUCAGCACCAAACUCGUGAACAGCAAACACUUGAUCCUCCACCCCAAUCUGCUAGGGCUGGGUCCCCUCCAUGUUUUAGUCAAGUUCAAAAUCACUGCCUCAAGAGAAGCAGGGGGAAGUGGGAUUCGAGGGGUGGGGUGGAGGAGGAGGGGAAAGAAGAUGAGGCAGAGACAGAAAUGGAGGCAGUGAAACACGAAAUACUCCACGAGCAAGAGUUAUGAUCAUAAGCACGCCAAUAGUGUGAUGUUCUGAUCAAUAUGGCGGACACUGUCAUUCAUACAACUAGAGGCGCUCUCAUUCCCUCCCCGCAAACACCGACCCCAGGAGUUGGGGUGGGGGACCCAGAACCAACGUAGGGAGUGGGGGAGGGGAGGCAACCUCGGGUUUCUUCUGUGUGUGCGCGAAUUAAAAACCAGGCCUGGAGAGCAAAUAUGGGUGAGCAAGAUAAUAAAAACGAUAUAAAUUAUUCUUAAUAAAAGUACAAAUCCCAAUGACACAGGGACUUACUUCAUCUGCUUCACAAUGGUGCUUUUUCCUGAUUCUCCAGCCCCUGUUGGGACACACAGAGGGGGGGAAACUCGCGCGCCUGCGCCCCACCCCGCCCCACCCCGGCGGGUCUCGCGCGCCCGGCCCGCCUCCUGUCAACCCCAGCGCGGCGGUCAGGUGGUCCCCAGCCCUGGGCCUGAGCCUCCAGCUUCCUGGUCCCUCGGGCUCUGGGUCGUGUCUCCGGCAGAUCGCCUUACCGAUUGUUCUCCUUCGCGGCUGGAGGUGUAGCCCCUAGUCGAGCUAUGGUGCCUCCGCAGAUGUGAGGAGGUAGUGGGUCAGGAUAAACCCGCUCACUCCAUAAUAACGCGCUGGGGCUCAGUGACGGAUUUGGGUCCGCAUUUAUUGAGCAUCUAGUGUCUAGAGACUGGGCUAGUAGAGAGGAAAGUAGCAGGCAGAGAAGAGGCAAGGCCUGCUCCGCAGGAGUUUUUGCCUCCCUUAGCCAAUGUGAGCCUUACCGCGAGAUGCCCACAACCUCUGUCGCUAGAGAUGGUUACCAUCCUAGGAUGGCUUGAUGCCAAAGGCCCAGGGACAGUCUUUCAUGAAAGCCUCUAGCAAAUACUUGUUCCCUUAAAUUUUUCUCUAUAUGAUGAAUCGAUGGCCUCCCUUGGUUCUUGAAUUCUUGUAUCCCCAGAACAUAAUCCGAUCGAAAACAGAGAUCUCAGGUGCCCAAUAUUCUAUAGACCUUGCUUCCUGCAGAGGUUGCUGGGGACAGUUGCCUAGAUCUACUGUGAACCAGAUUCAGAAAAAAAUUUCACUGCCAUUUGUACAAGACUGCAUUUGAUGGACCGAAGCGACCAUGUGUGUGCCUGGUGCCACCAAAGUCAGAAGAGGACAUCAGUGCCAACCUGAGAUCAGGAUUACAGAGAUCCAGAGUACGGAGAGCAGGAAUACUGACAUCCAUAAUACGGAGAUCUAGAGUACAGAGAUCCAGAGUACAGAGAGCAGGAAGACGGAGAUCCAGAAUACAGAGUGAAGGAGGGCAGAGUUCCAGAAUACAGAGUGCAAGAGGAUGGAGAUCUAGAAUACAGAGUGCAGGAGGACAGAGUUCCAGAAUACAGAGUGCAGCAGGACGGAGAUCUAGAAUACAGAGUGCAGGAGGACAGAGUUCCAGAAUACAGAGUGCAACAGGACGGAGAUCCAGAAUACAGAGUGCAGGAGGACAGAGUUCCAGAAUACAGAGUGCAACAGGACGGAGAUCCAGAAUACAGAGUGCAGGAGGACGGAGAUUCAGAAUACAGAGUGCAGGAGGACAGAGUUCCAGAAUACAGAGUGCAGGAGGACAGAGUUCCAGAAUACAGAGUGCAGGAGGACAGAGUUCCAGAAUACAGAGAAUGGAAACACCGAGAUCCAGAGUACAGAGAGCAGAAGUACAGAGAACCAGAGUACAGAGAUCUGGAGUAGGGAGAUCUAGAGUACAGAGAGCAGGAGUACUGAGAUCCAGAAUACAGAGAACGAGAGUGAUGAAAUCCGGAGUACCGAGAGUGGGAGUCCUGAGAGCAGGAGUACAGAGAGUGGGAGUCCUGAGAGCAGAACUACAGCGAGUGGGAGUACAGAGAUCCGGAGUACAGAGAUCCGGAGUACAGAGAGCAGGAGCACCGAGGUCUGGAGUACAGAGAGCAGGAGCACCGAGGUCCGGAGUACAGAGAACAGGAGCACCGAGGUCUGGAGUACAGAGAGCAGGAGCACCGAGGUCCGGAGUACAGAGAGCAGGAGCACCGAGGUCCGGAGUACAGAGAGCAGGAGCAUCGAGGUCCGGAGUACAGAGAGCAGGAGCACCGAGGUCCGGAGUACAGAGAGCAGGAGCACCGAGGUCUGGAGUACAGAGAGUAGGAGCAUCGAGGUCCAGACAACGGAGAACAGGAGUACGGAGAUGGGGAGUACGGAGAUGGGGAGUACGAAGAUGGAGAGUACGGAGAUCAGGAGUACUAAGAUCGAGAGUAUGAAGAUCCUGAGUACAGAUGCUCAGAGUACAGAGAUCAGGAGUACAAAGGGCAGGAUUAUUGCAAUCCAGUAUAUGAGAGAUUGGGCGUACAGAGCUUGGGAGUCCCCGUUGUUUAAGUAAGGGAAGACGUUGAUAAACUUCACUCCCAAUGAGUCUGAAUAAAUAAUAAAUGAAGGUCAUUUUCAAAGCAAAGGGCACAGAACAAAGAGACAGGACUACCAGUGUUUAUUCAGCUAACGCAGGGAGAUUUAAUUCACACCCCAGGCUUCAAUUUCCUCAACUAAACUGGGUUUUAGGUAUGUUCUGUUUUCCAUACCUGUGUUGCUAAAUCCGAGUCGAGCAGACAGAGAAACGGCAGAGAAUCAUAGAGGAUGUGUAGCAGGGAGAGCCACAGUGAGUGGCUUGGAAGGCAAAGCAUGAAUGUUACAAAUCUAUUUACCUAGGCACUGGGUACAUCUGUUCCACUGUCAACCGGUGCCUUUAAAUCAAGUCUGACUCCUUUAUACAUUGAUAGCAUUUGCUUUAGAAAUAAAACGCCUUGCUGAGCAUAACAGGCUAUUAUUGUGAGAAUAUACAAUGGGUAUUUAUAAUUUUUUUCCUAGUUCAAGCAAAGCCUAAAAGAACAUCCUUAAGUCAGAUCGUGGUGGUGCACACCUUUAAUCCCAGCACUUGGGAAUCAGCGGCAGAUGGCUCUCUGUGAGUUCGAGGCCAGCCUGGUCUACAGAGGGGUUGGCUUGUGGAAAGCUGUUAAACACCAUCCUUAAUGUGAAAUGUCAACCCUCACUCCAAGCUACUUGCGCCUUUCCAAAGCAUCCGGCGAAGACUUCCUGGGCGAAGACUUCCUAGUCGCUUUCUGAUCUUGUGGUCUGUGCAAGACGGGAGUUUGAAAGUUCUCAUAUGCUGAUAACGAUGAUCCCACCAUGCUCCGUGACCAUCUAUGAAAAGUAUCUUAAAUAAAGAUGGAGACAUUUUGGAUUGGGAAAAAUAGACACCAGCUUCUGAAGAUUUGAUAAAGAUAUUAUAUAUCUCAUCAUCAACACUUUUUAUUGAUUAUAUUCUGAUGUGAACUUGGGACCUUCUAUGUCAGUUAAAUUAACCUCUGGGUUUUUGCUUUUUAAAACAUGUCCCUGCAAGAAAAAAUUUAAAUGCAGAUAUGGUUCCCAGUGCGUUUCUAUUGGCUAACCCUGAGAUAGAAGCUAUACGACCUUGUUGAGUAACAGAGAGUGGACCUAUGUGGUUUGUGAACUCAGUUAAAGAAGGUCAUCUUUAGAUCUCAUUCUACUGUGUGAGUAAAGACAAAAAAUGAAGGUUCCAUUCCGCCACUUAACCCCAUGUAUAAAGAGGAUCGUGAGGUUUCUUCCUUUAAUCUUUGGCUGUGAUCAACUAUAUUGAUUGAUUUUUUUUCCUCAACUCAUUUUUUAGUUAGUGUACAAAGUAAUGGACUUCUAUUCAGACAUUUUCACAUCUAUAUUGUUAUGUUUUGUUCUUUUGGUCCCCAUCUGCUGUCUCAUAUCCCCCCCCCACCUCUUGCUGGUCUCUUUCCAUUCCUUUUAUUCCUUUAUGUCAUAUGUAUUCUAUUUUCUCUCUUUUUUCCUCCCCUUCCUAGGGAUCUUUUUCUUCCUUCUCAGUGCUUUUUCUAUGUUCAUGUAAUUCACACACACACACAGCUAUAUCUAUAAUCUAUCAUGUAUAUAUGUAUGUAUCUGUCUGUCUAUAUAUUUAUCUGUGUAUUCUGGAGUGAAUCCACCAGGCCACUUUGCACUCCUUUACAGCAUCUUGAAUUUCAUUUAUUCGACUUUUGCGUAGGAAUCUCCCCCAUUUUCACAGAGGAGACUGUCCUAUAGUAUUGAUUUUUUCACUUUCUUUACUGGCAUCCAGCUCAUACAACAGACUUCGCUUCUAAUAGCACUUGUUAUCGAGUGCUUACAAACACCCCGGGACUUAGCACACAGUUCCUUCAUUGACUCCCUACAAACGAUUUGUGUGUAGAUUCUAUGCUCAUCUUCAUUUACCUGUGCAGAGUCGGAACCCUCCUCAGGGAACUUGCCCAACAGCAGCACUUCAUUUUGACAAAAUGGUAGACUGGGUUCGUCCCAAACCAUCCUAAUACACGACAUCAAAAGAUUGAAUAAAGCAUUAAAAGAGUUAAAUGAACUGUGAGCCUGCAAAAGAAGUAGGGCAAGCCCUGGAUUCUUUAGCUGUCACAUCCAUCCUCUGAGCUUCAGUUUUAAUAUCUCUUAAUUGGGUGCAGGGGACAAAGCUAAGAUCCAAAGCCAGGUGGGCAAUGGGCCCAGAGCCUUCCAGCUUAAAUCCAGACCUGCAAAAUGACUUGGUUAGUGAGUCAACAGAGAAGAAAAUUCUCUACUCUCCCACAUCUCAAGGUAGGCAGAGAAGAAAGUUCCUUUCAACCAUGGCUGCAAGUGACUGUUCUCAGGGUAGGCAGGAUCCUGAGUUAACAUUCCAGUGUCUUAAAAGUUUUUGAAAGAGCAUUUUCAGAAAUGAGUACUUAGAUUGUUCUCAGUUCAAAAUAUUUGAUAAUUCCCAUUAUAAUGUUCUCUUUAACCUUUGAUUAUAUAGAAAUAACAACUUUAUCUCCAAACAUAGAAGUGUCUUUACUUUUUCACUUUUUCUCCCUGAUCCAAUUUGUUUGCACAGUGUUAAACAUAAGAAAUUAUUUUUUAAAAGCUUCAUUCAGAUUUCCUUUGUAGCUAUGAUUUUUUAUAAAUAUAACACAAUAAAUAUAUGUUCUCUAUUUGGGGGUGGGGCAUUGUAUUCUCUUAAUCUAUGUAUCCAAUAGAUACUAUUUUUAUAUUUUUUUCUGGUCAUUUGAUUUAUAUAUUAGUGUCGAGAGAGCUGUGUUAAAAUCUUCCCCUAUGAAUGUGCAUUUAUUCAAGUUUUGCUGUGAUUCUGGCUUUUCGUAUAUAUGCUUGUACUGUACUAGUAGGUACAUAUAGGUUAAUGAUAAUUAUAUUUUCUUGUAGACUUUAAAAAGUCACUUUAUAACAAGGCAUGGUGGAGCACUUGAGAGGCAGAAGCAGAUGGAUCUUUGUGAAUUUGAGGUUCUCCUGGUCUGCACAGCAAGUUCUAGGCCAGCCAGGGCUACGUGGUUCAGCUUGACUUUAAAAAAAAAAAAAAAAAAAAAAAAAACCCAAACACUUAAAAAUAAAUUGUUUGCCUAUGUUAAUGAUUUUAGCUUUAAAUGGCUUUUUAAAAUUUCAUCCUUUGGACCAGAGGAGAAAAAUAUCCCUGAGGGAAGUAUCACCAUUAUCUCUAAUCAGGAAAGGCAACUAUAUAUAACACAAUUUAUACAUAGAGAAAUCAAGAAGGAAAACAAAGAGAUUUUAGCUUCCAACAGAGAAGUCUAAAUGGAUAUUUAGGUAAUUUUGACUGCUUAUUUCAAACUGCUUUUCGAAGAAGAAGAAGAAGAAGAAGAAGAAGAAGAAGAAGAAGAAGAAGAAGAAGAAGAAGAAGAAGAAGAAGAAGAAGAAGAAGAAGGGGGUAAGAACCCUUCAUCCCAUAGGUGGCAUUUACUGUUGAGGAGAAGAGUGGCUGGGUUUGAAAAAGGAUCUUUGGCAUGUGACAAAGCAUGGGUGGGGUGUGCUGUAGGUGCUGUUUAUUUUUCUGAUCACAUCUCUUGGUACUCCACAGAGAGGACUGGGGAGCCCCAUGGUGGUAUGCUAUCAGGUGCAGAAGGAGUGUGCUCUGGUGAAAAUGGAUUCCCUUCAGCUUUGCUGACAAGGUUUGGUCAAAUGCUACCUGCAGAAAUGUAGUCUGUGUGCCCCAGGAUGGAGCCAGGAAUGGU
rnacentral:lncRNA from 1 species